rnacentral:rRNA from 1 species
AUUGAACGCUGGCGGCAGGCCUAACACAUGCAAGUCGAGCGAGCGGCGGACGGGUGAGUAAUGUCUGGGAAACUGCCUGACGGAGGGGGAUAACUACUGGAUACGGUAGCUAAUACCGCAUACCAUCAGCUGGGCCCAGAUGGGAUUAGCUAGUAGGUGGGGUAACGGCUCACCUAGGCGACGAUCCCUAGCUGGUCUGAGAGGAUGACCAGCCACACUGUAACUGAGACACGGUCCAGACUCCUACGGGAGGGAGCAGUGGGGAAGAUGGCACAAUGGGCGAAAGCCUGAUGCAGCCAUGCCGCGUGUGUGAAGAAGGCCUUCGGGUUGUAAAGCACUUUCAGCGGGGAGGCGUUACCCGCAGAAGAAGCACCGGCUAACUCCGUGCCAGCAGCCGCGGUAAUUC